AUACAGAGGGUGCGAGCGUUAAUCGGAAUUACUGGGCGUAAAGCGCGCGUAGGCGGCUUAUUAAGUCAGAUGUGAAAUCCCCGGGCUCAACCUGGGAACUGCAUCUGAUACUGGUAAGCUGGAGUUUUGGAGAGGGAAGUAGAAUUUCAGGUGUAGCGGUGAAAUGCAUAGAGAUCUGAAGGAAUACCAGUGGCGAAGGCGACUUCCUGGCCAAAAACUGACGCUGAGGUGCGAAAGCGUGGGUAGCAAACGGGAUUAGAAACCCCAGUAGUCC
rnacentral:rRNA from 1 species